rnacentral:rRNA from 1 species
CUUGUAAGCUAUCGCUUUGCGAUGGGUCUGCGUCUGAUUAGCUAGUUGGUGGGGCAACGGCCUACCAAGGCGACGAUCAGUAGCCGGUCUGAGAGGAUGAACGGCCACAUUGGAACUGAGACACGGUCCAGACUCCUACGGGAGGCAGCAGUGGGGAAUCUUCCGCAAUGGGCGAAAGCCUGACGGAGCAACGCCGCGUGAGUGAAGAAGGUCUUCGGAUCGUAAAGCUCUGUUGUCGGGGACGAAUGUUGAGACCAAGAACAUAGGUUUCAAAUGACGGUACCUGACGAGGAAGCCACGGCUAACUACGUG